rnacentral:rRNA from 1 species
GAUGAACGCUGGCGGCGUGCCUAACACAUGCAAGUCGAGCGAAUGGAUUAAGAGCUUGCUCUUAUGAAGUUAGCGGCGGACGGGUGAGUAACACGUGGGUAACCUGCCCAUAAGACUGGGAUAACUCCGGGAAACCGGGGCUAAUACCGGAUAACAUUUUGAACCGCAUGGUUCGAAAUUGAAAGGCGGCUUCGGCUGUCACUUAUGGAUGGACCCGCGUCGCAUUAGCUAGUUGGUGAGGUAACGGCUCACCAAGGCAACGAUGCGUAGCCGACCUGAGAGGGUGAUCGGCCACACUGGGACUGAGACACGGCCCAGACUCCUACGGGAGGUAGCAGUAGGGAAUCUUCCGCAAUGGACGAAAGUCUGACGGAGCGACGCCGCGUGAGUGAUGAAGGCUUUCGGGUCGUAAAACUCUGUUGUUAGGGAAGAACAAGUGCUAGUUGAAUAAGCUGACACCUUGACGGUACCUAACCAGAAAGCCACGGCUAACUACGUGCCAGCAGCCGCCGUAA